GGCGAGCCGCGGGGCCGGAACCGCCCGUGCUGCUGCGCCCCGGCCCCGGCCGUGUGGGCCUCGAUGGCGGCGGCGCCGCCGGUCUACGUGUACAGCCCGGAGUACGUGGAGCUCUGCGACUCCCUCUGCAAAGUGCCCAAGCGGGCCAGCAUGGUGCAUUCGUUGAUUGAGGCGUAUUGCCUGCUCGACCAGAUGAAGAUAGUCAAGCCAAAAGUGGCCUCCAUGGAGGAGAUGGCAAGUUUCCACACAGAUGCUUACCUGCAGCACCUGCAGAAGGUCAGUGAGGAGGGGGAUGAUGACCAUCCGGAGUCUGUGGAGUAUGGACUGGGUUAUGACUGUCCAGCCACUGAAGGGAUCUUUGAGUAUGCGGCGGCCGUGGGAGGAGCCACCAUCACUGCAGCCCAGUGCCUGCUGGACGGCAAGUGCAAGGUAGCAAUUAACUGGCCUGGAGGGUGGCAUCAUGCAAAGAAGGAUGAAGCUUCUGGCUUCUGUUACCUGAAUGAUGCCGUCCUGGGGAUCCUGCGGCUGCGCCAGAAAUUUGACCGUGUGCUUUAUAUCGAUUUGGAUUUGCAUCAUGGGGAUGGAGUUGAAGAUGCCUUUAGUUUCACCUCGAAAGUCAUGACUGUUUCUCUGCACAAGUUUUCACCAGGAUUUUUUCCAGGCACUGGUGAUGUGACAGAUGUUGGCCUGGGGAAAGGUCGCUAUUACAGCGUGAAUGUGCCCAUUCAAGAUGGCAUUCAGGAUGAGAAAUAUUACCAGAUCUGUGAAACCGUGCUGAAGGAGGUGUACGCCGCCUUCAACCCCGACGCGGUCGUGCUGCAGCUGGGGGCCGACACCAUCGCUGGGGACCCCAUGUGCUCCUUCAACAUGACGCCCGAGGGAGUGGGCAAGUGCCUCAAGUAUGUCCUGCAGUGGCAGCUAGCGACUCUCGUGCUGGGAGGAGGAGGUUACAACCUUGCCAACACAGCUCGCUGCUGGACAUACUUGACUGGGGUGAUCCUCGGGAGAACACUGUCCUCGGAGAUCCCCGAUCACGAGUUCUUCACAGAGUAUGGUCCUGAUUAUGUGUUGGAGAUCACCCCAAGCUGCAGACCAGACCGCAACGAGCCACAGAGAAUUCAAGAAAUUCUGAACUCUAUCAAAGGGAAUCUGAAGCAUGUUGUUUAGCAGAGGAGGAAGGCUCAGUUUCUGCAAGAGCAUUUCCCAUGGGGAAGACAGCGUAUUUACCUGAGCAACUGGUGAAAUUUGUGGCUGCAGGGAAAAUUUGGAAGAAAUUACUGUUGGAAAUCUGGCGUGGAGGGAGUUCAGCAGGAUGUGGCUCCCAUGACUCCUGACCCCCUUCUCCGCUUCCCUUGGCACCUGCUGUGGUGUGGUGUGAUGGGGAGAGACCAGUCUUGUGUGGUGACUGCUGGCAGGAGGCUGGUGCUGCCACCAGCACAGCAAAGGGUUCCAGUGUCCUGGGGACUGUUCAGACAGGGGAAAAGUGAGGAAGGAGAGAGCAGAGAAGCUGGCCAGCUGCCUCCUCUGACCAGCCUCAGGGCCCCACAUGCUCUGUCCCUGCACCAGGCAGACUGCCCUGUGAGCUGUGGGAGCUGCUUCAGGAACAGAACUGGGAAAAUAAACAGUAGGAAACCCCACAAGUGUCAAGCAUUGCAGUACUAAAUGGGCUUUAGGUGAGGUGCAGGGAGACCUGUAGGCAGGUUGCCCACACACAGACAGCUGAGAAAACUGAGCCAUGGGGUAAGGCACCCCCUCUGCCAUCCCCAUCCUCAUCUCCGAAUGUGGAGAGACAAUUGGAGUUCAACUCGGUGCAAAACAAGAAAAGUGCAAAAGGGGGGACGGAGGCUUGGAGGGUGCCCCCAGUGCCCCCACAAACAGCCCCCUCACACCCAAAUCCCUUCUCCAGCUGGCUGAGGGCACCAGUCCUCGUUGCCCUGGCAGCUCUGCCACUACCU